UACGUAGGUGACCAGCGUUGUCCGGAUUUACUGGGCGUAAAGCGCGCGUAGGCGGAUCACUAAGUCAGGGGUGAAAUCCCGAGGCUUAACCUCGGAACUGCCUUUGAUACUGGAGAUCUGGAGAUCGGGAGAGGUUGGUGGAAUUCCGAGUGUAGAGGUGAAAUUCGUAGAUAUUCGGAGGAACACCAGAAGCGAAGGCGGCCAACUGGCCCGAUACUGACGCUGAGGCGCGAAAGCGUGGGGAGCAAACAGG
rnacentral:rRNA from 1 species